AGACGUCUACAUUAGAUACCCGCGUAGUCCCAGCCGUAAACUAUGCGCGUUAGGUGUAUCGGUGACCACGCGUUACUGAUGCGCCGAAGAGAAAUCGUGAAACGCACCACCUGGGAAGUACGGUCGCAAGGCUGAAACUUAAAGGAAUUGGCGGGGGAGCACCACAACAGGUGGAGCCUGCGGUUUAAUUGGAUUCAACGCCGGACAUCUCACCGGAUAAGACAGCUGAAUGAUUGUCAAUCUGAAGGUUUUACAUGACUAGCUG
rnacentral:rRNA from 1 species